rnacentral:rRNA from 1 species
UAGGGAAUCUUCCGCAAUGGACGAAAGUCUGACGGAGCAACGCCGCGUGAGUGAAGAAGGAUUUCGGUUCGUAAAACUCUGUUGUUAGGGAAGAAAAAAUGUAUAGUAACUAUAUACAAAAGAGACGGUACCUAACCAGAAAGCCACGGCUAACUACGUGCCAGCAGCCGCGGUAAUACGUAGGUGGCAAGCGUUGUCCGGAAUUAUUGGGCGUAAAGCGCGCGCAGGUGGUUUAGAAAGUCUGAUGUGAUAGCCCACGGCUCAACCGUGGAGGGUCAUUGGAAACUAAUAAACUUGAGUGCAGGAGAGAAAAGUGGAAUUCCUAGUGUAGCGGUGAAAUGCGUAGAGAUUAGGAGGAACACCGGUGGCGAAAGCGGCUUUUUGGCCUGCAACUGACACUGAGGCGCGAAAGCGUGGGGAGCAAACAGG